AAGGGUCCGUAGGCGGACUCGUAAGUCAGUGGUGAAAUCUCAUAGCUUAACUAUGAAACUGCCAUUGAUACUGCGGGGUCUUGAGUAAGGUAGAGGUAGCUGGAAUAAGUAGUGUAGCGGUGAAAUGCAUAGAUAUUACUUAGAACACCAAUUGCGAAGGCAGGUUACCAUGUCUUAACUGACGCUGAUGGACGAAAGCGUGGGGAGCGAACAGGAUUAGAUACCCCUGU
rnacentral:rRNA from 1 species